AGGGCGAGGAGGGGAGUUGAAAGCACCCUGACGGCGAUUGGAAGAGCAGGGGAGUGACGUAUACUGAGCCAAACCAAUUAAAAAGUCGUGUCCCGCCUUAACCGGAGAGCGCCUGACGCGGGUGUCGAUCAGCGGGGAGCGGCGCAUGCGUGGUCAUCCGUUUCUGGAACAGUGUUGGAAUCCGAAGGCUGGAUGAACACUAUGGGAAUAUUCUCAGACGUCCAUCCCUUAGGAGUCCUGUUGAAGGACCUCCUGGUAGAAAGAGGGUUAGCGAGGAUCAUGAACCUGGGAUCAUUUAGCAGCAGUAGAUUAAAAUCUGCCUUUUCUGAUUCUACCUCAUUUUCACAUCAUUCCAAGAAGAGCCAACUCUGGUUCCAAAAAUUGAUCCUGGCAAGGUGAGCUGUGCAGAGACCUGCCCCUGACACACCCACACACUCUGGAGAAAGUAGGACUCGAGUGAUAUCGCCUCACCCACCAGGAUGCCUUGGGGAAAAACUGAAGAGGAUUGGAACCAUGCGGAGACACCAUUGGGUAGGACCAUCUGAAGAAGCGGCCAAAGCAGGAACCUUUGGACAUUCUAGAGACCUUUCUACAGUUUCCACUGGACUUUCUCUUGCAUGUGCUGAUUGGCUGUUUCUUCCAACCCUCUCCUUCCCCUCCCUCACAGUCUCUUCACCUCAGCUUCAUUCCCUCUUACCUUCUUCUCCCAGUCCCUAUGCUCUCCCCCUCGCCUCCUUCUCUUCAAUGUCCCCACUCCCUUUACUUUCCUUUUAAUUUAACCGUUUCCCUCCUAACUAAACCCAGUCAUAAAAAAUAUAUAAAUCAUGGCACUAACAAAAUGUUUGCUGCUGUCUGCUUGUGUGUUAUACACUUUCCCCUGUCCUAUGUCUAUCUUGUCUAUUUAGAUUGUAAGCAAUUUUGGGACACAGACUGCCUGCUAGACUGCGCUAAGACAGUGCCUGCCUCUUGCAAGUUGAGGGCACUCGACACUUGGCAGGAGACACUUAGCAUUUUGUAGGAUCGGAUCCAGGGUUUAUAAAUCAAUAAAGCAAAGCACUAGCCAGCUGGACUGGAUUCCUUAGUGUUUUGGAAGCAAUAGAUUGGGACGGGAGAGGCCUGAGCAAGGACUGAUCUAGUUGGAGAGGAAGAACCAGUCA